AGUGUUUGCUCUGAAACUGUGAACCAUCAGAGUCAGGAGAGAAGCAUUACCAAGUGUGAAUAAUAGGUUUCCAUAAGAGGUGUCAUCUCCUGCCCAGCAAAGGAAGGCCCACUGACACCAGAAAAACCACUGUGGAACAUCAGAGAAGAAAAGACUGUUGAUUCCUCCUUCACACCCAUGAAGAGGAGAUGUGCAGAGAGAAUGAGUCAAUGAGGCAUUUCUGUCCUGAAGGAAUAAUUAAUCGAGUAAGACAUUUUAAAGCAUGACUAAGCAACAAGUGUACCUAGAGUCAAGGACCACACAGCACAGCUCAGGAGGAGAGGGUUACGCAGACAAUGCAGAUAAUAGCUGUUCCCUAAAGAAAUGCCUUUUGACUACAAUUCCAAAUCUUCAGAAACAUGAAUUACAACAUAAUGAAGCACAAAAAAUCAGCAGUGAUACUAAAAUAACUUCUGGCCUUCUGCAAAUGAGAUUCAGAUGCCUUGAUACAGAUGAUCUAGUAAUACAUUUUAAUACAGGCCAUCUAAAGUUCUUAAGAUUUCCCCAGCAGGCGUCUAUAUUGCACAAACUGUUAUUAACUGUGGAUUAUCCCUGGAAGUGGAGGCAAGGAUUUAUUUGACAAAUGAUGAUAAUUUAACUAAUGAUUUAGGUGAGGUGCACUUGAGUGUUAAUAUAAAAAGCCAAUUCUAUUACUGCUUGAAACGUAAGACAAAAUUAAUUUAGCAAGUUUUUAUGUAACUAGAAGGAGCCAAAUAUCAG